UAGAAAUAUAAAUACACAAGGAAGAAGCAUAAACAAAAAUGAAAUACUCAAUCAGAAAGCUAAGCAAAAAUUUAAAUCCACAAGAUCUGAGUACUCAUACAAAAAUACGAGAAAGAGUUCAAUAAAAUAAUGUAACAAGAAAAAAGGAAACUGCAUAAGGUUUGUGACCGUCUGUUGAGAUGUUUCCCAUCUGGAGCAUUACACAUUUCUUGCAGUGCAUUGAUCAUGCCAAUUCUCUGGUAAGGAAAUAUUUGACAGCAUUGAACAUUGCUUCUAAAGCAUCUGGAUUACUAGACUUUUGGCUCACACAUCGUAUAAUUGCCAGCGCCCCAACCCUUCUGCCUUCAUCUGCAUGCCCAGCCUGUGGCAAUGCCACUGAAAUAAUUUCGACCGCGUACUUACUUAAAUCAAGGUUGACUGAAUUCAAGAGAAUCCCAACAGAUUCCAGUACAAUCUCAGGGUUACGUUUCAGCAUUUUAACAGCAGAGGGAAGCACAAUGUUUUGAAAAUCUUCAUGUAACAUAUGUCUAAAAAGUGGAUGAAAAGCUUGACUAAGACUAAGACCCUUUGCUGGCUUUUCCCUUGCAUUUAAAAUUGCCCUAAGAUAUAUAUCCAGAAACGUUGGCUGUGAAAAGCAAAGGAUCAGUUAAAAACUUCGGCACAUAAAAACUACAUCAAAUCAAUUUGAAGAAAAAAAAAACAGAAUAAAUAUCCCCUUUCAUACAUGGUCAUGAAACAAAUAAUCUCUCACCUUGCAUUGCUCAAACAAAGAAGAUGAUUUCCUUGAGGUACUUGAGAACUCCAUCAACAACCACACGAACUCAGGACUAUCUUUGCAUGGGAUACGUGCAUCUUUAAGUUCCUCUAUAUACAUUUUGUAAAUGUCUUGUGACGGGAAAGGAAACAAGAAAUAUGAAAUGCUAUGAGCAAAUAAGAACGUAAAUUAGAGAAGGUUCAACGGGCUAAACCUGAGAAAAUAAGUGACCAAAUGUCUUCUCGCAGGCCCUUCGCUCACGGAAAGAUCUUUGCAUAACAAUAUGAAAUAAUGAUGCAUGCACUGUGGCAACUUUACACAAUGCAUUCUUCGAGACUGUAGCAAACUUACUCUUACUUAAAAGGAGACAUGACCACUGGAGAAGUCUGUAGCAGCCAACAUGUGAUUGCACCCUUACUUGUCGUUCCAUGACCUGAACAAGGGCUGCUGCAAAACUUUUCAUUGUAAACCUUUUGUAAUGAUGCCAUCAACAGCUUUCCUUGACCCACGAUCAUCAUAAAUGUACAAUGUUUUAAACAUAUUAUAUCUACCAACAGCAAUGCAGGCUCUGUAUCCAUUUCU